rnacentral:rRNA from 1 species
UACGGGGGGGCAAGCGUUGUUCGGAAUUACUGGGCGUAAAGGGCGCGUAGGCGGUUCGCUAAGUUGGAUGUGAAAACUCUGGGCUCAACCCAGAGCCUGCAUCCAAAACUGGCGGGCUAGAGUUCUGGAGGGGAUAGCGGAAUUCCUGGUGUAGCGGUGAAAUGCGUAGAUAUCAGGAGGAACACCGGUGGCGAAGGCGGCUAUCUGGACAGAGUCUGACGCUGAGGCGCGAAAGCUAGGGGAGCAAACAGG